AAGUUAGGGUGGACAAUGGAUCACCAAACCAGUCCACAAGCACAGGGAGAUGCGUGGGCUGACAUCUGCUGGCUGCAAAAGUGUGGCCUUGGAAAGGGCCACAAGUUCCACCACACUAUUGGUGGAUCUCGCCGUGCAGCCUGGAGAAGGCGCAACAGUCUUCAGCUCCACCGUUACCGUAAUACACGUAAUAUCUGUGUAAAAUUCAUAGCCAAUAUACAACUUAGGGCAAUCAAAAAA
rnacentral:lncRNA from 1 species